ensembl:lncRNA
GCAGGUAAGCCCUCGAUUCACUUACCAGUUUCCAUUUGUACUUUGUAUUUGCAUGGGAGAGAAACCAUGUGGUCACGACAGUUUCGGGACACCAGCUUCUUGACCAUUGAUCAGGUGACACUGACUGUGCUUCCUGCUAAUAAUGUGGAGAGUGGCACUAACGUGAUCUUGCGUUGCGAGGCCAGUGUCAGUCAGAGCCUCCCCCAGCCGCUGACAUACUCCUUCAGCCUCCUGCAGGACAGUCAGGUGAUGUACUCCAAAAAUAGCAGUGCCUCAGUGGUGGAGCGCAGUUUAUCUCCAGCCAGGGUGUCCAACUCUGGUCGCUACCAGUGCAGUGUCCACAUCUACAACAAGCACAAGAUGAGCCUUCAAAUCCCUGUGCUGAAGGUGAUGUCUGACAUCGUGUCUGAGGGGGAAGACAUUAUUGCCACAUGCAGUGCACCAGAGGAGACAGGCAGUCUGAUGUUCUACUUCUACGAGGAUGAUCAGGAGGUCAAGAGAGUCGUUAGUACCAGCAACUCUGUGACAACCACUCUGACCAUGCAGAAGCUCACAGACAUCUACCUGCAUUGUGACUAUAUGGUUAUGAAGCAAUGCAGCGCAGGACACUCCAACAAAAGCAACAUGGUGAAAGUUAUUGUACAAGAUCUUGAUGCGAUCACCCCACAAAUAAGCAUCUCCCCCAAAGUGAAUGUUGUUGAGGGUGACAGGGUGCAGAUCACAUGUAAGGUGCAACUUAACUCAGAUCUUGAGUUGUACCUCACCAAAGGCAACACCCUUCUUCGUGAAUCUCAUACAACCUUCACAUACAGCCUCGUAGUAAGAGCUGAGGAUUCAGGGGUCUAUGUGUAUAAAGCAGAGAAAGGCAGCGUGCAAAAGAAGGCAGUCUAUCUGCUAAAUGUUGCAGAACUGUUCUCAAAGCCAAUUUUGAAAAUGAGCCCAGACCAGCUUUUUGAAGGAGAACGCUUCACUCUGACCUGCAGCAGUACUGUAAUCUCCUCAGUGAAGAUCGGAAAAGCAGACAUAAAGUAUGUUUUGCUGAAAGAUGGCCGACGCAUUGCAGCAGUUGCCAAAUACGAUGACACUGCAAGCCUGGCCACCAAUGGGAACUACUACUGUAUGGCCAUGGCUAAAGAAGUUAACAAGACCAGCUUACCAUUUAUUUUAAAGGCUAAAGUGCCUGUUUCUGCCCCAGUCCUUCGUGCUGUUAAUAAGGUGAUUGUUGGUAAACCAUUCAGAGUUUCAUGUGAGUCUGAAAAUGGAACGUUUCCAAUAACCUACACCUUACUGAAGACCAGCGUUCCAGUGGAUUACAGGACAGUGGUUGAGGCAGCUGACAGGGCGAUCUUUAAUAUAACCUCCAUCAGUUUCCCUGAAGAGAUCUACAGCUUCAUAUGUCAGGCGUCUAACCAUGUGCCAUCAUUCAGUAACACCAGUGAGCCCCUUAGAGCACCAGUCAUAGGAACUCCCUUUGUGAUGGGCAGGAAUGUCUGGAGUGAAAAUGUAUCUGGCUCAGGUAGUACAGAUUUUAAACCGGAUUAUGCCAAAGUAAUGCGAGUUCAUCACAUGACACCCUCUGCUUGCUGUUUUUCUAGAUUCUGA